GACGAACGCUGGCGGCGUGCUUAACACAUGCAAGUCGUACGGUAAGGCCCUUUCGGGGGUCCACGAGUGGCGAACGGGUGAGUAACACGUGAGUAACCUGCCCACAACUUUGGGAUAACGCUAGGAAACUGGUGCUAAUACUGGAUAUGUGCUCCUGCUGCAUGGUGGGGGUUGGAAAGCUCCGGCGGUUGUGGAUGGACUCGCGGCCUAUCAGCUUGUUGGUGGGGUAGUGGCCUACCAAGGCGGCGACGGGUAGCCGGCCUGAGAGGGUGACCGGCCACAUUGGGACUGAGAGACGGCCCAGACUCCUACGGGAGGCAGCAGGGGGGAAUAUUGCACAAUGGGCGCAAGCCUGAUGCAGCAACGCCGCGUGCGGGAUGACGGCCUUCGGGUUGUAAACCGCUUUCAGCAGGGACGAAGCUUUUUGUGACGGUACCUGCAGAAGAAGCACCGGCUAACUACGUG
rnacentral:rRNA from 1 species